AAGUCGUAACAAGGUUUCCGUAGGUGAACCUGCGGAAGGAUCAUUAACACGUAUCCAACGUUAAACCCCCCUGUGAACAUUUAUACUUGCUCUCGUGGCGUUUCGAUUGAGCGAUCGUUGCAAGUGGCCUGGUUUCCCCAAGCAGUCAGUGUCUGAAAGUGUCAUUGAUUGUGUAAGGAUAACGCUUUUCGAUCACUAGAGGCCGAACACCGGCCGGUGACCAGGUCGCCGUGGCUUCGGCCCCCCAUAUUCACCCCACUACCUGAACUCGCCUCGUAGGAAACUGCUGGGCAACAAAACGAACAACUGUUAACAAUGGAUAUCUUGGUUCUC
rnacentral:misc_RNA from 1 species